rnacentral:rRNA from 1 species
UACGUAGGGUGCAAGCGUUAAUCGGAAUUACUGGGCGUAAAGCGUGCGCAGGCGGUUUCUUAAGUCAGGUGUGAAAGCCCCGGGCUUAACCUGGGAACUGCGUUUGAAACUGGGAGACUAGAGUGUGGCAGAGGGGGGUGGAAUUCCACGUGUAGCAGUGAAAUGCGUAGAUAUGUGGAGGAACACCGAUGGCGAAGGCAACCCCCUGGGUUAACACUGACGCUCAUGCACGAAAGCGUGGGGAGCAAACAGG